rnacentral:rRNA from 1 species
GUUUGAUCCUGGCUCAGAACGAACGCUGGCGGCGUGCCUAACACAUGCAAGUCCAACGUGAAAGGGGAGCAAUCCCCCGGUAGGGUGGCAAACGGGUGAGUAAUACAUGGGUGAUCUACCUUAGGGAUGGGGAUAUCCUUCCGAAAGGAGGGGCAAUACCGAAUAUUGUCCGGAGCCGUGAAGGGUUCCGGGGAAAGGGAGGCCUCUGAUACAAGCUUUCGCCUUAAGAUGAGCCCAUGGCCCAUCAGCUAGUUGGUAGGGUAAAGGCCUACCAAGGCUACGACGGGUCGCUGGUCUGAGAGGACGACCAGCCACACUGGCACUGAGAUACGGGCCAGACUCCUACGGGAGGCAGCAGUGAGGAAUAUUGCGCAAUGGGGGAAACCCUGACGCAGCAACGCCGCGU